UAGUCCCUUGCCUGUAUUCUU
ensembl:piRNA 21ur-1753 ncRNA